rnacentral:rRNA from 1 species
AGGAUGAACGCUGGCGGCGUGCUUAACACAUGCAAGUCGAACGAUGAAGCCCAGCUUGCUGGGUGGAUUAGUGGCGAACGGGUGAGUAACACGUGAGUAACCUGCCCUUAACUCUGGGAUAAGCCUGGGAAACURGGUCUAAUACCGGAUAGGAGCGUCUACCGCAUGGUGGGUGUUGGAAAGAUUUAUCGGUUUUGGAUGGACUCGCGGCCUAUCAGCUUGUUGGUGAGGUAAUGGCUCACCAAGGCGACGACGGGUAGCCGGCCUGAGAGGGUGACCGGCCACACUGGGACUGAGACACGGCCCAGACUCCUACGGGAGGCAGCAGUGGGGAAUAUUGCACAAUGGGCGAAAGCCUGAUGCAGCGACGCCGCGUGAGGGAUGACGGCCUUCGGGUUGUAAACCUCUUUCAGUAGGGAAGAAGCGAAAGUGACGGUACCUGCAGAAGAAGCACCGGCUAACUACGUGCCAGCAGCCGCGGUAAUACGUAGGGUGCGAGCGUUAUCCGGAAUUAUUGGGCGUAAAGAGCUCGUAGGCGGUUUGUCGCGUCUGUCGUGAAAGUCCGGGGCUUAACCCCGGAUCUGCGGUGGGUACGGGCAGACUAGAGUGCAGUAGGGGAGACUGGAAUUCCUGGUGUAGCGGUGGAAUGCGCAGAUAUCAGGAGGAACACCGAUGGCGAAGGCAGGUCUCUGGGC